GUGCGCCGAACAGCCGCGGGCGGCUUCCGAAAGGAACCGUGCGAGGAAAGUCCGGGCUUCACAGAGCAAAAAUAACGGCUAACCGCCGCCGGGGGUGACCCCAGGGCCAGUGCAACAGAAAAUAACCGCCGCUGAGUGCUUCGGUUGACAUUCGGGUGGAAGGCUCGAUUUCGGUUGAACCUUCCUCCCCGUACGAAAGCUUCACCAUGUGUCGUUUUCGCAGCUGUCGCCUCGGUCGGUAAGGAUGGAAAGGUGAGGUAAGAGCUCACCGGAGGGUGGGAGACCACUCUGCCGUGUAAACCCUAUUUGAAGCAACACCGUGGUAGGACGCAUACGCUUGCUCGGCGUGUCCUUAGGAGGUGGCAUUGAGCAGGCUCGGGUAACCGACUGCCAAGAUAGAUGGCUGUUCAAGACAGAACCCGGCUUACAGACGCACUCG
rnacentral:RNase_P_RNA from 1 species